GAUGAACGCUGGCGGCGUGCCUAAUACAUGCAAGUCGAGCGAAUGGAUUAAGAGCUUGCUCUUAUGAAGUUAGCGGCGGACGGGUGAGUAACACGUGAGUAACCUGCCCAUAAGACUGGGAUAACUCCGGGAAACCGGGGCUAAUACCGGAUAACAUUUUGAACCGCAUGGUUCGAAAUUGAAAGGCGGCUUCGGCUGUGACUUAUGGAUGGACGCGCGUCGCAUUAGCUAGUUGGUGAGGUAACGGCUCACCAAGGCAACGAUGCGUAGCCGACCUGAGAGGGUGAUCGGCCACACUGGGACUGAGACACGGCCCAGACUCCUACGGGAGGCAGCAGUAGGGAAUCUUCCGCAAUGGACGAAAGUCUGACGGAGCAACGCCGCGUGAGUGAUGAAGGCUUUCGGGUCGUAAAACUCUGUUGUUAGGGAAGAACAAGUGCUAGUUGAAUAAGCUGGCACCUUGACGGUACCUAACCAGAAAGCCACGGCUAACUACGUGCCAGCAGCCGCCGUAA
rnacentral:rRNA from 1 species